rnacentral:rRNA from 1 species
GAUGAACGCUGGCGGCGUGCCUAAUACAUGCAAGUCGAGCGAACAGACGAGGAGCUUGCUCCUUUGACGUUAGCGGCGGACGGGUGAGUAACACGUGGAUAACCUACCUAUAAGACUGGGAUAACUUCGGGAAACCGGAGCUAAUACCGGAUAACAUGUUGAACCGCAUGGUUCAACAGUGAAAGACGGUCUUGCUGUCACUUAUAGAUGGAUCCGCGCCGCAUUAGCUAGUUGGUAAGGUAACGGCUUACCAAGGCAACGAUGCGUAGCCGACCUGAGAGGGUGAUAGGCCACACUGGAACUGAGACACGGUCCAGACUCCUACGGGAGGCAGCAGUAGGGAAUCUGCCGCAAUGGGCGAAAGCAUGACGGAGCAACGCCGCGUGAGUGAAGAAGGUCUUCGGAUCGUAAAACUCUGUUAUUAGGGAAGAACAAAUGUGUAAGUAACUAUGCACGUCUUGACGGUACCUAAUCAGAAAGCCACGGCUAACUACGUG